rnacentral:rRNA from 1 species
UACGGAAGGGGCAAGCGUUGUUCGGAAUCAUUGGGCGUAAAGGGCGCGUAGGUGGUUCUGUAUGUCUACCGUGAAAGCGUACGGCUCAACCGUAUUUUGUCGGUGGAACUGCAGGACUCGAGGCUGGGAGGGGCUGGUGGAAUUCCCUGUGUAGCGGUGAAAUGCGUAGAGAUGGGGAGAAGACUCGUGGCGAAGGCGGCACUCUGGGCCGGUGACUGACGCUGAGGAGCGAAGACGUGGGGAGCAAACAGG